GACGAACGCUGGCGGCGUGCCUAAUACAUGCAAGUCGAACGCUUCUUUCCUCGAGUGCUUGCACUCAAUUGGAAAGAGGAGUGGCGGACGGGUGAGUAACACGUGGGUAACCUACCCAUCAGAGGGGGAUAACACUUGGAAACAGGUGCUAAUACCGCAUAACAGUUUAUGCCGCAUGGCAUAAGAGUGAAAGGCGCUUUCGGGUGUCGCUGAUGGAUGGACCCGCGGUGCAUUAGCUAGUUGGUGAGGUAACGGCUCACCAAGGCCACGAUGCAUAGCCGACCUGAGAGGGUGAUCGGCCACACUGGGACUGAGACACGGCCCAGACUCCUACGGGAGGCAGCAGUAGGGAAUCUUCGGCAAUGGACGAAAGUCUGACCGAGCAACGCCGCGUGAGUGAAGAAGGUUUUCGGAUCGUAAAACUCUGUUGUUAGAGAAGAACAAGGACGUUAGUAACUGAACGUCCCCUGACGGUAUCUAACCAGAAAGCCACGGCUAACUACGUG
rnacentral:rRNA from 1 species